AUUGAACGCUGGCGGCAGGCCUAACACAUGCAAGUCGAGCGGAUGAAGGGAGCUUGCUCCUGGAUUCAGCGGCGGACGGGUGAGUAAUGCCUAGGAAUCUGCCUGGUAGUGGGGGAUAACGUCCGGAAACGGGCGCUAAUACCGCAUACGUCCUGAGGGAGAAAGUGGGGGAUCUUCGGACCUCACGCUAUCAGAUGAGCCUAGGUCGGAUUAGCUAGUUGGUGGGGUAAAGGCCUACCAAGGCGACGAUCCGUAACUGGUCUGAGAGGAUGAUCAGUCACAGGGGAACUGAGACACGGCCAGGACCCCUACGGGAGGCAGCAGUGGGGAAUAUGGGGCAAGGGGGGAAGACCUGACCCAGCAAUGCCGGGUGUGGAAAGAAGGUCUUCGGAUUGAAAAGCUUUUUAAUUUGGGAGAAAGGAAAUUAUUUUAAUCCCUGGCUGUUUUGACGUUACCAAAAAAAAAAGCCCCGGCUAACUACGUG
rnacentral:rRNA from 1 species